rnacentral:tRNA from 1 species
GGCUUCGUACCUCAGCUGGUAGAGCGCUUGCCGCGUUAAGGCAUGCUAUGUCUGUCGCUGGCUUGAAUCCAGCCGGAGUCC